CUCUGAGCAGUACAUCAAGCUUUUAAAAUAUGUUCACAGUGUUAUUCCCUGUCUUUUCAAUGUCAGGCAUUUUCAAAUCCCUCACAUGCUGCCGUCAGGCUGCCACUGCCUGGUGGCAGCUAAGUCCCUGAGAUCACAAGGUUCUUCUCAGGAAGCUGGAGGUCUGCAGGUCCUGUAGCUCCCACUGGCUGCAGGUGGAGGACGUGGUCUCGUUACUGAAUGGAUAAUUAAUGAUGCCUGUCAGAUGGGUGUUAUCUACACGUUUUGCAUCGUCUCGAAUGCAAAGAGGUUAGUCUUUUACAUGGUACAUUUCUGAAUCCUCGAGAUAAAAUAGUGUUGCUGCUUAUUGGACACUUACUUGCCUGAAAGGACAGUGACAGUGGUGUGGUUUCAGAAAACUAAAGAACAGUGAAAAUGUCUGAAAAAUGGGGAAUUAUAUGAAACCCUGUUAAUAUGAUAGGAACAAACAGAAUAACCUCUAAGACAGUGAUGCCCUUCACUGCAGUGGUUCUGUAAUUAGACCUCUCCUCUUUCGCUGUGUUUCAUUAAUGGGAAAAUAAUAGCUCCUUAAUAGGGAACAGUAGAUAAGGGAAUUUGUCAUAUUACUAGCUGAUAAAGGACAUGAGAGGGGUCCUGAAAUUUGAGGUUUUAUGGUUUUAAUAAAAGUAUGAUAUUUUCUUUUACCUAUGGGCUU
rnacentral:lncRNA from 1 species